GCCCGAGUGGCGGAAUGGUAGACGCAGGGGACUCAAAAUCCUCCGGUAGCGAUACCGUGCGAGUUCGAGUCUCGCCUCGGGCACCA
rnacentral:tRNA from 1 species